rnacentral:tRNA from 1 species
GCAGUGGUAAUUCAGUGGUAGAAUUAUUACCUUCCAUGCAAGAGACCUAGGUUCAAUUCCCAGCAAGUGUA